AUUCUACUCCCUCAGUUGCACAAUACAUGCCUUUCUAUUUGUCAAAAUAUAUAUGUAUCUAGAUAUGUUUUAGUAUAUAGGUACAUCCAUUUUUGGACAAAUGGAAGUCAAGUAUUUUGGAACGGAGGGAGUACACA
rnacentral:pre_miRNA from 1 species